CUUCUUCCUCUACCUGUGUAUUUCACUUGGCUCUCUACAUCGACUCAGCUCCAGCCAUGUGAAGUGCCUCACUCCCUGUUCACCUUCCACCAUGAUUUUAAGUUCUGUGAGGCCUCCCUAGAAGCUGAUGCCACCAUGUUUCCUGUACAACCUGCAGAAUGACAUGGAAAUUAGUGCUUGCUUCCCAGAGUAAUCUUCAAAUUAAAUAUA
rnacentral:lncRNA from 1 species